AUUGAACGCUGGCGGCAGGCCUAACACAUGCAAGUCGAACGAGUGGCGGACGGGUGAGUAAUGUCUGGGAAACUGCCUGAUGUAGGGGGAUAACUACGGGAAACGGUAGCUAAUACUGCAUACCACGAGAUGUGCCCAGAGGGGAUUAGCUAGUUGGUGGGGUAACGGCUCACCAAGGCGACGAUCCCUAGCUGGUCUGAGAGGAUGACCGGCCACACUGGAACUGAGACACGGUCCAGACUCCUACGGGAGGCAGCAGUGGGGAAUAUUGCACAAUGGGCGCAAGCCUGAUGCAGCCAUGCCGCGUGUAUGAAGAAGGCCUUCGGGUUGUAAAGUACUUUCAGCGGGGAGGCGUUACCCGAAGAAGAAGCACCGGCUAACUCCGUGCCAGCAGCCGCGGUAAUAC
rnacentral:rRNA from 1 species